rnacentral:rRNA from 1 species
UGAGGAAUAUUGGUCAAUGGGCGGGAGCCUGAACCAGCCAAGCCGCGUGAGGGAGGAAGGCCCUAUGGGUCGUAAACCUCUUUUGUCAGGGAACAAAAGCGAGUAUGUAUACUAGUCUGAGUGUACCUGAAGAAAAAGCAUCGGCUAACUCCGUGCCAGCAGCCGCGGUAAUACGGAGGAUGCGGGCGUUAUCCGGAUUUAUUGGGUUUAAAGGGUGCGUAGGCGGCGGUGCAAGUCAGCGGUAAAAGCCCGGGGCUCAACCCGGCGAGCCGUUGAAACUGCAGUGCUAGAGAAGGCGAGAGGUACGCGGAAUGCGCAGUGUAGCGGUGAAAUGCUUAGAUAUUGCGCAGAACUCCGAUUGCGAAGGCAGCGUACUGGCGCCUGACUGACGCUGAGGCACGAAAGCGUGGGGAUCGAACAGGAUUAGAUACC